CUUCUGCGCGCGCCUAGCGGCGGGCACGCCCCGUCACGUGCUGCGUGCUGCCUGCGCGUGUUUCCGCCGCGGCCCGCUAGGCGCGGAGGGGUUGGAGCGCGGCGCCCGCCGGAACGCGGCGCCCGCCGGAACGCGGCGCCGGAUGGGACAGCGCCCGCCUCCGAAAUUAACAAGCCGCGUCUGCGUGGCUCGAGUGCAUGUGUGGAACGAGGGGCCAUGGUGCCCGUGGGGUCCCCAUGGGAGGUCGACUCGGGACCUCGAAAAGAUGGCGAGCUGCUGAGGCUGGAAAAGAUUUGAGACCACAAGUGCAGCCUCCACUCUCCCUGUUAGACUUACUCCGGAGUCCCUGACCCCCUCAGACUUUCCUUCCUACUUCCAUUCCUUCAGCAAAUAUUGAACACCUAUGGUGUCGGGCCGGGGCUUCAGGGAAGGGUGAAGCAAGCUGGUCAUCCUGGAGGCAUGGAAGACUCCAGGAGCAGACCACAGGGGCGGCUGUGGACCUAGGGCCCGGGACCUGCUGAACCAAAUUACAACAUGCCUCUGAACUCCAAAGGCCAGUGCAGAGGAAGCGGCAGGGUGGGUGAAGGGGAGGGGAUACAUUGCAUGCAGCCUGGAGCUGGAGAGCAGAGUCAGCAUGGAGGGCCUCAGGGAGGGGAGAGCCGAGUGGACCAUGACUUCGUGGGAAGUCCCAAGCCCUCACAGACCUGGAGGGAAUGGGCAUUGCAGGCGAAGAGAGUGUGGGUGCCAGAGAGGACUGGGCUGGUGGGCAAGCCUGGAGCUGCAGUGGGAGCCGGCUCCUGUAGCCUUCAGAGUGGUCGGCUUCUCUGCACUGGCUUCUCUUCACUCCGAAGACCUGAAAAGAACUGAGUCCUGGCAGUCUUCCCUGAAUGUCCUGGGCUACAGAGCCCCAAGGGAUGAGGAGUGGUCCCGUAUACUGGCGAGGUGGUACUUCCCACUGUCCUGAGUAGGAGAGGGCAGAGCCAACUUUAUUUUGAACAAUGAAGAAAUGGCUGUUUCAUCUGGAAAAAAUGUCAGUGAAGACAUGAACUCAAGAUUCUCUAAAAUUAUGCCGUGUUUCCCUUAUAGCCAGAGAGCAUUGAGUGUUCUCAUGUAUCAUUUCAUUUGAAGCAGGAAGGGCUGGAGACUCCCAUCGGCCCCACCGGAGGAGGAAGGAGCCGGGAUGGGGCAUGUGGAUAGAAGUGCCUAUGGCCUUGCUUGUGUGCAGGCUGGGGAGGAAUGGCAUCAGUGGUUUCAGGAGGCAUUGCCCCAGGAUUGUCGCACAGGGACAAUGUGUUGGGUUCACAUGCCUGACCCUGAAACUCCAAAAGCCCCAGACACAGAGCAUAGCCAGAGGGCGCUUGGUUGGAGGGGGCCUGAGUGUGGGUGGGGACCCACUCCCCCAGGCUGCCAGAAAUUCCUUUGAGCGCUCAUGCUCUGAGUUAAGCCUUGUUCAUAUAACCUAUCUUUUGAAGUGCACUCUGCCACCUAAUUCACCUCAAUGUGAAUGAGUUUUUCCAAAGUUAGGCAGGAUGGGGGUGGAGCAGGCAAAUAGGUCUGUGUGCCCACAGCUCAGAGGGUGGCCUGGGGGAAGAGGUAGGGUCAGCUUUGGCCACCUGACCUCUCAGAGGGAGUUUCUUUCAAGCCUUCUAAGCCCUGUGUUCCCAGAAUUCUUGCCCUGCUGGUGUGGCCCCAGGUGUGUUUAGAUCAGUUCUAAUCCAUCUCAGACGCCAGGCCUCAAUGGAGCCCUCUGAUCCCACCCCUCCCCCAGCACAGCCCAGGUUGCCCCUUUUACUCUCCCCCAGAUCUCAUGUUUGUGCCCACAAUGUCUUAAAAUAUCUGUUUCCUCACCUUGGGGUGGCGAUUGUGCUGCCUGCCUUUCAGGGUCACUUGAAGGUUAAAUGCAGGACUGGGUGUGAAAGGCCCUAGCACUUCGGAUGAGCUGAUUGAUGUCAAGUGUUUAGAAUCAUCUUGGGCUAUUCUUUUUUUUUUGGAAACCAAGCCUUGCCCUGUCAUCCA